rnacentral:rRNA from 1 species
CCUACGGGAGGCAGCAGUGAGGAAUAUUGGUCAAUGGGCGCGAGCCUGAACCAGCCAAGUAGCGUGAAGGAUGACUGCCCUACGGGUUGUAAACUUCUUUUAUAAAGGAAUAAAGUGAGGCACGUGUGCCUUUUUGUAUGUACUUUAUGAAUAAGGAUCGGCUAACUCCGUGCCAGCAGCCGCGGUAAUACGGAGGGUGCAAGCGUUGUCCGGAAUCAUUGGGCGUAAAGAGUUCGUAGGUGGCAUAUUAAGUCUGGUGUUAAAUGCAGAAGCUCAACUUCUGUUCGGCACUGGAUACUGGUAAGCUUGAAUGCGGUAGAGGUAAAGGGAAUUCCUGGUGUAGCGGUGAAAUGCGUAGAUAUCAGGAGGAACAUCGGUGGCGUAAGCGCUUUACUGGGCCGUAAUUGACACUGAGGAACGAAAGCCGGGGUAGCAAAUGGGAUUAGAUACCCGUGUAGUC